rnacentral:rRNA from 1 species
UACAGAGGUCUCAAGCGUUGUUCGGAUUCAUUGGGCGUAAAGGGUGUGUAGGCGGCGCCGUAAGUCGGGUGUGAAAUCUCGGAGCUUAACUCCGAAACUGCAUUCGAUACUGCGGUGCUUGAGGACUGGAGAGGAGACUGGAAUUCAUGGUGUAGCGGUGAAAUGCGUAGAGAUCGUGAGGAAGACCAGUGGCGAAGGCGGGUCUCUGGACAGUUCCUGACGCUGAGACACGAAGGCCAGGGGAGCAAACGGG